UCGGAUCAGACUACGAUGUUAAUUGUUUCUAUGAGGCCAUUCGAACUCCUUUUUAAACCAUAGUAUAAAUCGACCAUGAUUUUUUUUUAUUCGUAAUUAAUCUCACUGAUAUGUGAAAUGCUUCAAUAUACUUAUUGAAUUGAAAAUUAAUUAACUUAUCACAGAUACAGCUACGCGAAUGGCUUCAGAUAUAAAAAAAACUAUAGUCAGUACAUAUUAUAUUUGCCCAAGGAGUCCCUUUGAAAAAAUGUACCAAGUCACACUAAAAGGAGAGCUUGCCUUUAUACCAGCUUGCCUUUAUACCACUUGUAUUUUUAAAAUCGAUCAGCUGUACGUGUUAUAUAGUAAUAAAAUUAUAAAAUACGAAGUAGGAAGACAUACUCGUAAAAGGCUACUCAAAGAAUAAAGUAAAUUUUAGCGGUGAUGUACUGUAAAAAAAUAUAAUACAUAAAGAAAAAAUAUAACUAAGUUUCAUUUCACAAUAUAAUCAAUACAGUGUUAUGUAAAUUUACUAUUUUUAUAUGACUUUAACUAAAAAAAAUAACAGGUAUUUUUUUCUAAUUAAGGUCUUAAUAGAAAAAUGUAUGUUUUAAAUGAGACCUGUCGCUAAAAAAGUUUGAGAACUGAGGUACUACAGCCAUAUUUACUAGGCAAACCUAUUUGACAAGCAAUUAAAGAGACUAUUGUCUACUUUAGAAUCGGACCUGAGAUCGUCGAAGAGAAUCGACUCACUCCUGCAUCAACAUUACAUCAACCUUAUUAAGGAUACUGAAUUAUUGAUACAGACCUAGCAGACUUAAUGCGAACAAUAAGCCGACUUAAAAGCAAAGUUGUAGCAGGUAUAUCUCGCAUCUUGAGCUGAACCAAGGACCCAUUGACCUUUAAUAUAUUUCAUAAGAAACGGGAUACGCGAGUUGUCGCCAAAAAAAUGCACGAAACAAGAGGAUUCAAUAAUUUAUAUAUUCCAUUAACUUAAAAACUAAUAAUCUGGUAUUAAAUUUAUAUUGAUAAUACCUUCUUUGUGUAGGUAUAAUACAAUACAUCGUUGA